UUUGAUUCGGAACGGUUCAUGAUUUUAGAGCUAUGAUAGUCCUAAAGUUGCUUCUUCUGCUGGUGGGUUGUCUCACGAUGACCGAUGCGAUCACUCUCUGCUUGAGCCAUACGGAUUGCAUGCGAGAUUGCAUCGGCCCAUUUGUUCCUGUCUGCAUGCUGGGGCUCUGCACCUGUUCCCCAAUUCUGUCCUGAGUAGGCAUGCUUUUGCUUCGAAGUGACGGCCUCUUUCAAUUUCCAACCAUGAAUUCUUCAUGAAUUCUUAACUUUCCCAACGAAGUAAACAAUCGUUUUCUGCUAUCACCGGACUAAUUAUUUAUUUACGAUGACGCACGAGGCUGACCCUGGAUUUCCUUGAUAACAUUCUCCACCUGUGGAUAUUCACUAGUUUGAAACUGGAAAAAAGGAUAACAUUGUAGAAAUUUGGAAUAAACAUCUUCAUUAACCA